CGUAGGGUGCGAGCGUUAAUCGGAAUUACUGGGCGUAAAGCGUGCGCAGGCGGUUUAGUAAGACAGGCGUGAAAUCCCCGGGCUCAACCUGGGAACUGCGCUUGUGACUGCUAAGCUAGAGUACGGCAGAGGGGGUGGAAUUCCACGUGUAGCAGUGAAAUGCGUAGAGAUGUGGAGGAACACCAAUGGCGAAGGCAGCCCCCUGGGUCGAUACUGACGCUCAUGCACGAAAGCGUGGGUAGCAAACAGGAUUAGAUACCCUGGUAGUCCACGCCCCAAACGAUGUCAACUAGGUGUUGGGAGGGUAAAACCUUUUAGUACCGGAGCUAACGCGUGAAGUUGACCGCCUGGGGAGUACGGCCGCAAGGUUA
rnacentral:rRNA from 1 species